rnacentral:rRNA from 1 species
CCUACGGGUGGCAGCAGUGAGGAAUAUUGGUCAAUGGGCGCAAGCCUGAACCAGCCAAGUCGCGUGAGGGAUGACGGUCCUAUGGAUUGUAAACCUCUUUUGCCGGGGAGCAAGGCCCGCCACGUGUGGCGGGAAGGAGAGUACCCGAAGAAAAAGCAUCGGCUAACUACGUGCCAGCAGCCGCGGUAAUACGGAGGAUGCGAGCGUUAUUCGGAUUUAUUGGGUUUAAAGGGUGCGUAGGCGGUUUGCUAAGUUAGAGGUGAAAUGUCGGGGCUCAACCCCGAAACUGCCUCUAAUACUGUUGGACUAGAGAAUAGUUGCGGUAGGCGGAAUGUAUGGUGUAGCGGUGAAAUGCUUAGAGAUCAUACAGAACACCGGUUGCGACGGCAGCUUACCAAACUAUAUCUGACGUUGAGGCACGAAAGCGUGGGUAGCAAACAGGAUUAGCUACCCUGUAGUC